CAAAUUCAUUGUAACGAAUAUUUUGCUUUGAAAAACAUAACUUGGGUUUUUGUCAUUAGUAUCUACAGAUUCGUUAAUCUACGUCAAGUAUUGUAAGUCCUACAUUAUGUUUGUAGUAUCAGAUUUAUAUCGAAUUCAUAAAUGAUAAUGCUAUUACUAAUACUGUUAUUAUAUAAAUCAGUGUUAUUUUUUUCGAAUAAAUCUGAAUACUCAGACCGAACAGCAAUGGAAUGAUAUAGAAUGAAAGUUCUACAGUAUGACAUAUAAUACUAACUUGUUAAAAUAAUAAGUUUCAAUUCAGUUAUUUGAUUUCUAAGUUCUUUGUGUUGUUUUACACUUUUUCAAUAUGUGCAUAACGUUAUUAAAAAAAAACCAACGUCUAUAUUAAAUUAUGUAAAUUUCUAUGUACAAAUUUAGUGAUUAUUUUGUCGUAGAAGCUUUGACAUACAGUAUCUUUUAAUGUACAUAAAUAAUGGUAUUGUAUCACUUGUUAUAUUUGGGAUAUGGUGGUAGUGCAUCAAUUGGUCUGUAGCAUUUAAUGUUUCAAAGGAAUUAUUAUGUGCACAGUUAUUCCUACAUUGUCCAAUAUUUCGGUACGUAGACGUGAAAUAUUUCAAAACUAUUGUUUUGUUUGCUUGUCAUUCAUAUCGGCUUCAUCUAUGAAACAGAUAUUCAAUAACCGUCAACCAACUCGUGAUGAAGUCCGUAGUAUAAUUUUUAAAGGGAUAAUUUCAACUUCACCAUUUGGAACUCUUGGUUUUAAUAGCUUCGGAUUCCAUAUGAGCAGCAGCUCUCUAUCAAGGGAUUCAUAAGAGAAAUCGUCCCCCUGAAUAUAGUGUCAUUUGGAAGAUAUAUACUCUAUAUGCGUUGCUAUGUUGUUACCUAAAAAUGGAAACUUCACAAUUGGGAAUCUGUUUUUCUGUUUUUCAAUCGACCCUAAUUAUUUCUAAGUUUUUAAGUUUCUAAGUUGUUUUAUAUAUUCAUUUGAUUGUAUGUGAUUGUAUUUUGUAUAUGUUAACCUCUUGUUUCACAUGGCAAUGUGACGGAGUGUUUUUAAAAUAAAGCAUAUUGUAUACACCUUAUCGAUGUUUGUCCGCCAUUGCUAGAUAUCACACAGAUUCCCGUAAAAUGUUGACGUCAUAAAACAAAAUAACUGACGCCACAAUGGAAAAGUGAUUGUUGUUGACGUCAACAUUUCAAGCGGCCGGGUCAGCCGGGAUUAGCAAUAAGGUGUAUAUAAACUCAUCAUAGAUACCAAUAUUGUAUUGUCUGUUUCUAGAAUUUAGUCAAGAUACGAAUCAGACUUAACUGUAUUUGUUAUAUCCUUUUUCUCAAGCUCGAAUGAAAAGAUGCUUUGAACAUAGUCACCCAAUUUUGAAUUAAUAUAUAUAAUACAAUGUUAUGUGAUAUAACAUCAUCUAUAUAGUAAAUGUUAUUUACUCCAUUAAAGAGUUCCGUAGUCAAUAAUGUCCCGUUAUCUAUUUA
rnacentral:lncRNA from 1 species